rnacentral:rRNA from 1 species
UAACACGUGGAUAAUCUGCCCUGCACAGGGGGACAACAGCUAGAAAUGGCUGCUAAUACCGCAUAAGCCUACAGCCUCGCAUGAGGGAGUAGGAAAAGAAAUUCGGUGCAGGAUGAGUCCGCGUCUGAUUAGCUAGUUGGAGGGGUAAAAGCCCACCAAGGCAACGAUCAGUAGCCGGCCUGAGAGGGCGACCGGCCACAUUGGGACUGAGACACGGCCCAAACUCCUACGGAAGGCAGCAG